rnacentral:rRNA from 1 species
UACGUAGGGUGCGAGCGUUAAUCGGAAUUACUGGGCGUAAAGCGUGCGCAGGCGGUGAUGUAAGACAGAUGUGAAAUCCCCGGGCUCAACCUGGGAACUGCAUUUGUGACUGCAUCGCUGGAGUGCGGCAGAGGGGGAUGGAAUUCCGCGUGUAGCAGUGAAAUGCGUAGAUAUGCGGAGGAACACCGAUGGCGAAGGCAAUCCCCUGGGCCUGCACUGACGCUCAUGCGCGAAAGCGUGGGGAGCAAACAGG